AUGAACGCUAGCGGCAGGCCUAACACAUGCAAGGUCGAGGGGCAUCGCGGUGCAGCAAUGCACUGGCGGCGACCGGCGUACGGGUGCGUAACGCGUAUGCAACCUGCCCCGCACCGGGGGAUAGCCCGCCGAAAGGCGGAUUAAUAUUCCAUAGUCCAGCUAUAUCGCAUGGUAUAGUUGGUAAAGAUUUAUCGGCACAAGUUUGGCAUGCGUCUGAUUAGCUUGUUGGUAGGGUAACGGCCUACCAAGGCUACGAUCAGUAGGGGUUCUGAGAGGAUUAACCCCCACACUGGUACUGAGACACGGACCAGACUCCUACGGGAGGCAGCAGUGAGGAAUAUUGGUCAAUGGGCGGAAGCCUGAACCAGCCAUCCCGCGUGAAGGAAGACAGCCUUACGGGUUGUAAACUUCUUUUCUGUCAGAAGAAUAAGCUUGUCGAGACGAGUGAUGCCGGUAUGACAGGAAUAAGCAUCGGCUAACUCCGUG
rnacentral:rRNA from 1 species